UUGGCUGGUGGUAAUGGCGGGAGUGAAACACCCGGUAACAUUCCGAACC
rnacentral:rRNA from 1 species